AGUGAACGCUGGCGGUAUGCCUAACACAUGCAAGUCGAACGGCAGCACAGUAAGAGCUUGCUCUUCCGGAUGGCGAGUGGCGGACGGGUGAGGAAUACAUCGGAAUCUACUUUUUCGUGGGGGAUAACGUAGGGAAACUUACGCUAAUACAGCAUACGACCUACGUGUGAAAGCAGGGGAUCUUCGUACCUUGCUCGAUUGAAUGAGCCGAUGUCGGAUUAGCUAGUUGACGGGGUAAAGGCCCACCAAGGCGACGAUCCGUAGCUGGUCUGAGAGGAUGAUCAGCCAAACUGGAACUGAGACACGGUCCAGACUCCUACGGGAGGCAGCAGUGGGGAAUAUUGGACAAUGGGGGCAAGCCUGAUCCAGCCAUACCGCGUGGGUGAAGAAGGCCUUCGGGUUGUAAAGCCCUUUUGUUGGGAAAGAAAAGCAGCAGGUUAAUACCUCGCUGUUCUGACGGUACCCAAAGAAUAAGCACCGGCUAACUUCGUG
rnacentral:rRNA from 1 species